rnacentral:rRNA from 1 species
GAUGAACGCUGGCGGCGUGCCUAAUACAUGCAAGUCGAGCGAACGGACGAGAAGCUUGCCUCUCUGAUGUUAGCGGCGGACGGGUGAGUAACACGUGGAUAACCUACCUAUAAGACUGGGAUAACUUCGGGAAACCGGAGCUAAUACCGGAUGAUAUUUUGAACCGCAUGGUUCAAAAGUGAAAGACGGUCUUGCUGUCACUUAUAGAUGGAUCCGCGCUGCAUUAGCUAGUUGGUAAGGUAACGGCUUACCAAGGCAACGAUGCAUAGCCGACCUGAGAGGGUGAUCGGCCACACUGGAACUGAGACACGGUCCAGACUCCUACGGGAGGCAGCAGUAGGGAAUCUUCCGCAAUGGGCGAAAGCCUGACGGAGCAACGCCGCGUGAGUGAUGAAGGUCUUCGGAUCGUAAAACUCUGUUAUUAGGGAAGAACAUAUGUGUAAGUAACUGUGCACAUCUUGACGGUACCUAAUCAGAAAGCCACGGCUAACUACGUG